rnacentral:rRNA from 1 species
UACGGAGGGUGAGAGCGUUAAUCGGAAUAACUGGGCGUAAAGGGCACGCAGGCGGGCUUUUAAGUGAGAUGUGAAAACCCCGGGCUUAACCUGGGAAUAGCAUUUCAGACUGGGAGUCUAGAGUACUUUAGGGAGGGGUAGAAUUCCACGUGUAGCGGUGAAAUGCGUAGAGAUGUGGAGGAAUACCGAAGGCUAAGGCAGCCCCUUGGGAAUGUACUUACGCUCAUGUGCGAAUGCGUGGGGAGCAACCAGG